rnacentral:lncRNA from 1 species
UCACUACUAACAUGCAUCUUUUAAAGGUACAUGCCAAAACUCGAGUCGUUGAUCAGCCUACUCUAAUACCAAUUAUUAUAGACUGAACAUGAGAGCUCAACUCAACAAGCUCGUCUAUUAUAGACUAGUUACAGAUACCUGUGCUAAGCACAGGUCCAACAAUGUAUUCGUGACAGACAUGAUUUUGUUAUCUAUAUAAUGCAACGACAGAUUUUCCUUUGUUGCACUUGAAUCUCAAUUCCUUUGUGCUCUCGUACAUACAAAAUUAUAAAGAAGAAUUAAAAAUACUAAAACUAACAAGUAAUAUUAUGACCGUACAAAGUUACCAAAAUAUUCAAUUCAAGUAGUUGGCUUGAGAUCUCAGUGGAAAAAAAAUCUCUUCCUUUAUUAGCUACAGUAAGAAUGUCAGCACCAAUUGACAUCAGUUUAGAACACCUUGAUCAUCAAAAUGCUUAAAACCUCUUCUUUUCCUCUAUUGACAAAAACUCAGGAAUCUCUUCUUUUCCAUUAGUGGUUUUGUAGUAGGCUUCUCUUCGGAGUUUCUUUAGAUCGUGUUGCUCUUCACUGCUUCUUGUAAUUCCACAUUGUAACCAAGAAGAGGAUAAAGAGCAAAGAGAUAAUAAAAAUAUAUGAUGUGUUUGAUUAACAUGGAAAAUCAUAUAAUUGGUCUUCCCUGAAAGUUGUAUAACGAAAACUAAGAGGAGUGCCACCAAGAUCUUAUUAAUUCAAGCCUGCAUAAAAUAAAUUUUUUCUUUAUCAUUGAUCCCAAAUACGAUAAAAACUAUAAAUAUCCAAGCCUUCGAUUAAAUAUAAGACUAUGGGAACUCUCUAAAAGAAGUGCCAAUACAGCAGCACUCUAAAAGGCAAAUUAAAAUAAGAAAACAAAUAUUUAUUUAAAUAAUUCGAUUCAUGUCUAGCAAAAAAAUUUCAAACAUAUGAUUGAAGACAAUAACCUUGAGACCAUGAGCUUUGUGAUGUUAUUAUGCAUGAGUUAAACAGUCAUAGCCGGAGCCACAGAGUCAGAAUAACCAUCACAUAUGUGUAUCAAAUAUCAACCAUGGGUCGAGCCAGUAAUAAAUCUUUUCUUGAAUAGCCUAAUGCUUCAUGUCAUAUAUAACUCUUAAUGCAUGCCAUGGUUCUUUCAUGGUGUACUACAUAAGCUAAUCAAUAGAUAAUAACUUCCUGAUCAUCAACCAGCUCGCUUAAAAUUUGUCAAGGCCUUAUUUUUUAGAGACCGUUAAGACCUUUUUUAACCAGGUAUUAGUCUUUAAAUCAGCAGUAAGUUCAAAAUUACUAUCACAUUACCUCAUCUCAAUGUGAAUUCUCCCAUUAAAUGGUUUGGUCGUAUGCACUACAAUGUUAAUCCCCAAAUAACAGUUUAUCUCAACCAGUUACAAAGUGAGAAGAGUAAUCCAAUAUUGGAUAUAUUCUUAUUAUAACCAGAAAGGAUGCAUGCAAUGAAAAAGAUAAGUUCUCUGCAACUUUGAUUAAAUAUAAAAUAUUGAGUGAAAUAAAUUUAUCUGGCAAUUAGGUGCAUCACCUUGCACAGACAUCAUUGUCACUACUACUUAUAAGGUGCAUGAGACACUAAAAAGGGGAAAAAAAGCAAUUAGCAAAAGCUUUCCACAAGAAAUCAUCAUUUAUUAUCCUUGAAUCAUGAGUCUGUAAUUUCUGAAAAAUAAAUAACAGGGGAGCGACUAACUAAAUAUAAAUCAUCUAAACGAAGAAAAAUGGUAAUUAUAUAUGCAAAAAUUGCUUUAAUUCCAGGUCUGCAAUAAAAUCAGAGAUGAGUUGAGAUGGAAAAAAGUUAGCAUUCAAUAUGCUAAUAUUUGAACUUGUACUUGAUUCGGUUAAACUACUGAGGACAUCCGUUCAAAUAGUAUUUAUCAAAUUUAAAAGAUAAAAUAACUAAAUACAUUUAAUGAACAUUAAUAUAAAUCAAGAAGAUUGCUUUGAUUUGCACAAAUUAGUAAACGUGUGCUUGUGCAUGUGCUUGCCUUAGGAAUGCAUUUGUUUUGUUUUCCUUUUCUUUUUUGCUUAUCCAAUUGUUGCAUUCAUCAUCACGUACUUAUUUUAUUUGUCCAAAGAGAUAGCAAUUAUUUUAAAAAUAAGACCUGCCAUUAUUUUACUCAAAUAAAGUAAUAUGCUUCAACAAUACCCAAUAUUCUAGUAACAAUAUCUCAGGCAUCAAUAUAUACCUUUAAUUCUUUACAUAUUGUGUGCGACACAUAAAUAGCGGGCGCUCUCAACUAACAGAGCAAUCCAUACUCCACUAUUCUAAGUAAUCCAUCACCCAGAAAUACAGAACAUUGAAGAGCUUAGCCAUUUUGCUCUUUUUCUGUAUUCAUAUACCUCAUUUUUUAAAUUCCCUAGAAAUUUGAUGCAUUGACUCAUAUCAAACUUUUAAACACCUAAUAAUUUAACUGACUUUAAAAUGUUCCCUUUUAGUAAAACAUCAAUUCAUGUCCUACAACAUUUAAUCAAGUUCAUGAGUAAGCCAUAAAUAAGUAACCUUAUACCUAAGAGAUUGUAGAAAAAGCACAUGUGCAAUCUAAUUACACAUCAGAGAGCAGUAUGACAGGAAUAGCACAUCUAAGCUGAAAAUUUGAUGUUACUUGAACAAAUGAGAAGAUACUAUCAUGAACCAUAACUUUUGACAUUUCAGGUGAAUUAGGAAUUAAAAUAGAUAUCUAGCCAAAAGAAAAAACUAACCAAUCAAUCUUAUGCCUAGUAAAUCCCAAAUAAAAGAUGGUGAAUGACAAAAAUAUAGCAACCAUGAGUAACACACUGGUAGCUGCAUAAAAAAUUAGAAGAAAACAUAUAUACCUGUGACUCUUAAUUAAGUUCAUGCUAAUUAAUUAACUCCAACUCACACCAAUCACCACUGCUCCAUGAAAUAUCUCAUCUCAAAAAGGCUAGAGUGGUGUCCUACAAAUUGAAACUUUUAUUACCAUUGUGAAUUAAAAUAUUUCACCAAGCGGACAAUACAUGUUAAAUCAUGCAUUUAGUUCAUAAUGCAUCUAAAGUAAAGUAAUAUUUGAAGCACUACCAGAUUAUGGAUAUAUUUAUAAAAUUGGAUCAUCAAAAUGCUUUUAUCUGAAGAACUCGAGAGAAUAUAUUCAAGUAUUAUACUGUAAAUAGAUGUUUCUCUUACUUAACAUUACUAUUUGUUUACUGUAAUUAGAUGAAGAAGAAGAAAGAAAAAAUAAUUAUUUAUUGUUUCAGGCAUACCAUCAAACAUCAUGGAUGCAUCAGUGUACAAAGGGAAUUAGGUUUGCUUACCGAAAAAUCAGAUUCCGUAUUCAUUAAUUAUACAUAAGCUUGCACCUAGGCAUCGAUUUUCACAUAUGCAGAAACAUAGAUCAUGCACCCCAAGCAUUUCAUUCCUAAACAUCUAUGUGAAAAGAGGUAAAAAUAGUGGCAUGCACAUAAAACAUAAACCAAAAAUUUUCCACAUAAGAGGAAAACUAACUAAAAAAUAUUUACCAAAAUUCCAUCGCAAAGGAAUUAGUGCAAAAAGAAAACAAAGAAAGAAACAUGAAAAAACUCACCGCAAAUCACAGGCAUAGAAGAGCCGAAGAGAUGAAAAGAAAGAGCAAAUGAAAAAUCUAGAAAUCAAACAAAAAGAUAAAAGUGAGAGGGAUGAAGUAAGAAUGAAGAGAAGCUGAAAUAAAUCCGGAGUAAAGCACAGUACAAGCGACUAUUGAGUGCAAAUCUAAUUAUUUGCAAAAGGUGUGGCCUACCUGAGAAAUUUACAGAGCAAAAACGCACUUUCAGAUUAAAGAACCAAGAAACAGGGAUGAUAUCAAAAUAGAAGUGAAAAUGGAAAAUAGUUGUCUCACUAAAAUAAAAAAGCUAGCACGUGUAAGGAAAUAAUAAGGACUGUAGUUGAAGAGUAAAGUUCCAAAAUGACCAUGACAAAUACUAAUAUUUACUAAAUUGCCCCUGUUCGUACACCCAAAUCCCAUUUAUAAAUAAUAGUAAUAUAUAGAAGAGUCCAUUCAACCAAUAAAAUUAUUACUGUUUAAGAAAAAAAACUAGGGACUCAAUUGGUUCACACAUGCAAGGCCGACUGUUA